rnacentral:rRNA from 1 species
AGGGCGCAUGGUGAAUGCCUUGGGGCAAGAAGCCGAUGAAGGACGCAGCAAGCGGCGAAACGCUCCGGGAAGGUGCAAGCAACCGACGAUCCGGAGAUAUCCGAAUGGGGAAACCCGCUGUGCGAUGCACAGCACUCCCGCCUGAACACAUAGGGCGGGUAGAGGGCACUCGGAAAACUGAAACAUCUAAGUACCCGAAGGAAGAGAAAACAAAAGUGAUUCCGCUAGUAGCGGCGAGCGAACGCGGAUCAGCCUAAACCGACUAUGUGAAGAUAGCCUACCGGCGUUGCAUAGUGGGUGUUGCGGGACUGUCCUGGGUCAACGGUAGCAGACCCAAAGAGUUACAAAUCCGAUCUUUAGCAGAACGCGUCUGGGAAGCGCGGCCAUAGCGGGUGAUAGCCCCGUAUGCGACAGGGAUCGGACUCUUGGACAGCACCCAAGUACCGCGGAUCACGAGGAAUUCUGCGGGAAUCCGGGAGAACCACCUCCUAAGGCUAAAUACUUCUUGCCACCGAUAGUGAACUAGUACCGUGAGGGAAAGGCGAAAAGAACCCCGGGAGGGGAGUGAAAUAGAACCUGAAACCAUGUCGUCUACAAGCAGUGGAAGCACUCUUUACAGUGCGACUGCGUGCCUUUUGCAGAAUGAGUCCGCGAGUUAAUCUCUGCAGCAAGCUUAAGUGUCUCAGACACGGAGGCAUAGCGAAAGCGAGUCUGAAUAGGGCGCCAGGCUUCGGCCAAGAGUUGCUGGGAUUAGACCCGAAACCGUGUGAUCUACCCAUGGCCAGGUUGAAGCUCGGGUAAGACCGAGUGGAGGACCGCACCGGUGUAUGUUGAAGAAUGCUCGGAUGAGUUGUGGGUAGGGGUGAAAUGCCAAUCGAACACGGAGAUAGCUGGUUCUCCUCGAAAUGCAUUUAGGUGCAGCGUUACGUGUUCUCUUUUGCAGGUAGAGCACUGGAAAGGCUAGGGGCCUCACCGGGUUACUGAACCUUACCAAACUCCGAAUGGCAGAAGAUCAGAGCGUAGCAGUGAGACAGUGGGGGAUAAGCUUCAUUGUCGAAAGGGAAACAGCCCAGACCAUCCGCUAAGGUCCCCAAGCGCCGGCUAAGUGUAAAAGGAUGUGGAAUUCCAUAGACAACCAGGAUGUUGGCUUAGAAGCAGCCACCAUUUAAAGAGUGCGUAACAGCUUACUGGUCGAAUGGCGUUCUGCGCCGAUAAUGUAAGGGGGCUCAAGCCGGCCACCGAAGCGAUGGACUUGUCUUUUAGGCAAGUGGUAGAGGAGCGUUGCAUGUGGGACGAAGCCAUAGCGUAAGCAGUGGUGGACUUCAUGCAAGUGCGGAUGCGGACAUAAGUAGCGCGAAGACGGGUGAGAAUCCCGUCCACCGAAAGCCUAAGGGUUCUUCAGGAAGGCUCGUCCACUGAAGGUUAGUCGGGCCUAAGCCGAGGUCGAACGACGUAGGCGAUGGACACACGGUUGAUAUUCCGUGACCAGUGUAAUCAAGUGAUGGAGGGACGCGGUCCUACUUUCUAGCGCAACUGUUGGUUGUGUGCGUGAAGCAUGGGGGAUGGCUUACAGGCAAAUCCGUAGGCGUAACUCUCUUUUGUGGACGAGUGGAUCCUUCGGGUGAAGCGAAGUAGGGACGAGGAUCGCCGAGAAAAUCUUCUAAGCGUUGAUGGUUAUACUGCCCGUACCGUACUCCGACACAGGUAGGCAGGUAGAGGAUACCAAGGUGUUCGAGAUAACUCUCGUUAAGGAACUAGGCAAAUUGACCCCGUAACUUCGGGAGAAGGGGUGCCCUCGCAAGGGGGCCGCAGUGACAAGCGCUGAGCGACUGUUUAACAAAAACACAGGUCUCUGCUAAGGAGAAAUCCUAGGUAUAGGGGCUGACACCUGCCCAAUGCCAGAAGGUUAAUGGGAGAGGUCAUCCGUAAGGUGCAGCCUUGAACUGAAGCCCUGGUGAAUGGCGGCCGUAACUAUAACGGUCCUAAGGUAGCGAAAUUCCUAGUCGGGUAAGUUCCGACCUGCACGAAAGGUGUAACGACUUAGCGACUGUCUCAACGAGAGGCUCGGUGAAAUUGUAGCACCGGUGAAGAUGCCGGUUACCCGCAAUAGGACGAAAAGACCCCGUGGAGCUUUACUACACCCUAUUAUUGUGUUCUGGUCUAGCUUGUAGAGCGUAGGUGGGAGCAUUUAUGCGCCAAUGGAACACCACCCUGGCUAUUCUGGAGCACUAACCUUAACCGUGAUCCGGUAAAGAGACCGUAAUAGGCGGGUAGUUUGACUGGGGCGGUCGCCUCCCAAACGGUAACGGAGGCGUUCCAAGUUUCCCUCAGGCUGGUUGGAAAUCAGCUUUAGAGUGCAAGGGCAUAAGGGAAAUUGACUGUGAGACAAACAGGUCGAUCAGAUGCGAAAGCAGGACCUAGUGACCCUCUGGUAGUGCGUGGGCACGCCAGGGCUUAUCGGAUAAAAGCUACCCCGGGGAUAACAGGCUUAUCUUGCCCAAGCGCUCACAGCGACGGCAAGGUUUGGCACCUCGAUGUCGGCUCGUCGCAUCCUGGGGCUGGAUUAGGUCCCAAGGGUUGGGCUGUUCGCCCAUUAAAGCGGUACGCGAGCUGGGUUCAGAACGUCG